GGCCCUAUAGCUCAGCGGUAGAGCGUCGGCUUCCAGACGUUCUACGGAUAGGAAAUUUCCGAAGGUCAUCCGUUCAAAUCGGGUUGGGGUCA